UACAGAGGGGGCAAGCGUUGUUCGGAAUUACUGGGCGUAAAGGGCGCGUAGGCGGCCUUCUAAGUCGAACGUGAAAUCCCCGGGCUCAACCCGGGAACUGCGUCCGAUACUGGGAGGCUUGAAUCCGGGAGAGGGAUGCGGAAUUCCGGGUGGAGUGGUGAAAUGCGUAGAGAUCCGGAGGAACACCGAAGGCGAAGGCAGUGUCCUGGCGAGUGACUGACGCUGAGGUGCGAAAGCCAGGGGAGCGAACGGG
rnacentral:rRNA from 1 species